rnacentral:rRNA from 1 species
GAUGAACGCUGGCGGCGUGCCUAACACAUGCAAGUCGAGCGGCAGCGCGGGGUGCUUGCACCCUGUCGGCGAGCGGCGGACGGCUGAGUAACGCGUGGGAACGUGCCCCAAAGUGAGGAAUAACUGACCGAAAGGGUAGCUAAUACCGCAAAUUAUCUUCGGAUCAAAGGAUUUAUUCGCGAUGGGCGCGGCUCGCGUCGGUUUAGGCAGUUGGUGAGGUAAUGGCUCACCAAGUCGCCGACCCGUAGCUGGUCUGAGAGGAUGACUAGCCAGACUGGAGGUGAGACCCAGUCCAGAAUCGUACGCAAGGCAGCAGAGAGGAAUCUACCACAAUGGAGGAAAGCCUGAUGGAGCAGCGCGGGGUACAAGACGAAGGCGUUCGGGUUGUAAACUGGUUUUAUAAGUGAGGAAUAUGACGGUAACUUAUGAAUAAGGAUCGGCUAACUACGUG